AAUUAAGAAAGAAAACAAAAUGCAAGCAAACAACAAAAAAGGAUGGUGCAAAAGAAAGAAGGCUGAAUGUGUUAUAGCAAGAUAUGUUUGAACCCUGUGGCUUUGCCACUUAUGCCCUGAAUGAUCGAUCAUAGAAAUAUUGGAGUGGUUGCCAUUUCCUUCUCCA